GCAGAUUAAAAUUUUAUUUAUAAAGUACUGCAUGAUUUGGCUCCAGCUCCUCUGGCUGAGUUCAUCAGCCAAAGAAACAGCUCUGAGCGUGUCACUCGAGGCUCUGUCAGAGGUGACUGUCUCAUUCAUCUGCGCAGGAGCGCUUUUAGGAAGUCAGCCUGGUCAGUGAGGAGCGCUGCUGAGUGGAACUCAGUACCUGAGGAGGUUAAACAUGCAAGGCCUUCACAAAAAAAGUGAAAAUGUGGCUCGUUAACACCAAGAGCUGCCAACACUAAAAGACAAAUGCCUAAAGGUGCCACGCUCAUCGGUUUGAUCAAUUAUACUCAAGUAUAAACACCAUGGGAAUGUCCAGCCAUCAUACUACCCUGGAAGGAGACUGGUUCUAUGUCACAGGGAUGGACGUGAAGGAAAGAACAAAAGCAAUACACCUUGUGAAGAUGCUGGCUGAAGUUGGAUCCACUGAGGGUUGCGUGGAGAUGUUGCCUAUGCAGCCUACAGGCAUUGUGGGAUAUCUUCUGUGGUUUUCGACUGAGUGAAAGAAAGAAAAGAUGUCAGUGGAAGGGAGCAGAUGCUACAAAAGAGAUUCAAGACGGCUAGAAGUGCAUCGUGAAUAACAACAGGAGGUCCUCCAGCGAUGAAAACAGAUGUUAGCUGAAUAGAGCCUGUUGUGAGACCAGUUAUUUGGACGAUGCCCACCAUGUCAGUAAUCAGCGUGGAGGAGAGCUAAUUAAAAAUGUGUUACCUCGGGUGAAUAUACACUCCACAGUCCAUUAUAGGUGAACCUGCAGAGCCCAAUGUAAAAGCUGAUCAAAAAAUCAGCCUAAACAAAAACAAUAAUGCUCAGAUUUGAGGUUAUUGUGGUUGUUGUUAGUUACAAGUAUUACCCAAAAACCAGAUACCCGAUUUGCCGCACAUUACAUUACAUUUUUUUUACAUUUCUGUGCAAAUGCGCAAAAAGAUGCUUAGUCAGGAAUUUAUCUUGACCUUCUGGCCUUAAAGUCCACUUGGGGUAGUUAAAGUGAGCCACCAAAUCCAGAAGUGAAAAAAAAACAAAAAACAUUUGAUGUGCGGUAGUUGGCAUCCACUUUAUAAAGAGCAUUAUCGCCGCCCACAGGAGUGGAGUGGAACUGUAACACCUAGCAUGUACGCUCCUCAAGUGUUUUACUCGUCGAACUUGGCUACAACAAGUUUUGCUCUGACCAACCAAUCGGGGAACAGAAAAAUACUGACGUUAUUGUGGUACCUUGCCUGUGAGGGGAACUUGAAUUUGUAUUAAUUAAAGGAAUAGUCCCAUUGCUAAUACUGUACGUGUAGUUUAAGUUACAUCGGCUGAUUGUGAAGGCCCUGGGCAGAUUUGAUUGACAUGGCAACACACUGAGGCCGAAAUCUGUUUGGGCAAAAAAAUAAAAAAUCAAAUAAAUAAAUAGAAUAUCUGCAUACCGACAGCAAUGCAGGGAAGAGAAACGCUACAAAAUGAAGAGAAUAGACUAAUAAAUAGAAUAAAUGAAUCCAAUUUCAUGGAACAAAUAUCUGAAUUUAGGUUGUAAACAUAGGUCACUGCUUCUGCUUCUAGUGUUAAGACCAGCAGAAAAUGCUUCGCAGGCCCUGACACUUCUUCUUUACAUCUGAAGUACAUCACAACAAUGGUCAAGAUGGGUGGGUUUCACUGUCAAUAAGUGACAAAGCGGCUGAGUACAAAGCCCUCCUUCUUCCUGCUCUUUGCAGGUGAUUCUGCAGGCUCUCAUCCGUCAGCCUCUGACAACAUGAUAAUCCCUCUAAUUAAAAACCGCCCACUUCCAUUCAAGGCUUUAUCCCUAUUUCCCCCUCCCUUCCAUUCCCUUCCUCCGAUAGCUUGAUCGCCGCCAGGUUGCUCUCUCCAGAACUGACAACUUUGUAGAUAUUCUUUCUACUGAUAGCCUGGUCACCCCUGCGCCCUACUCGUGUGUCAGGCUC